AUGAACGCUAGCGGGAGGCCUAACACAUGCAAGCCGAGCGGUAUUGUUUCUUCGGAAAUGAGAGAGCGGCGUACGGGUGCGUAACACGUGUGCAACCUGCCUUUAUCUGGGGGAUAGCCUUUCGAAAGGAAGAUUAAUACUCCAUAAUAUAUUGAACGGCAUCGUUUAAUAUUGAAAGCUCCGGCGGAUAGAGAUGGGCACGCGCAAGAUUAGCUAGUUGGUGAGGUAACGGCUCACCAAGGCGAUGAUCUUUAGGGGGCCUGAGAGGGUGAUCCCCCACACUGGUACUGAGACACGGACCAGACUCCUACGGGGGGCAGCAGUGAGGAAUAUUGGUCAAUGGGUGCAAGCCUGAACCAGCCAUCCCGCGUGAAGGACGACUGCCCUAUGGGUUGUAAACUUCUUUUGUAUAGGGAUAAACCUACCCUCGUGAGGGUAGCUGAAGGUACUAUACGAAUAAGCACCGGCUAACUCCGUG
rnacentral:rRNA from 1 species